GACGAACGCUGGCGGCGUGCUUAACACAUGCAAGUCGAACGGAAAGGCCCUGCUUUUGUGGGGUGCUCGAGUGGCGAACGGGUGAGUAACACGUGGGUAACCUGCCCUUGACUUUGGGAUAACUUCAGGAAACUGGGGCUAAUACCGGAUCGGAGCUCCUGCUGCAUGGUGGGGGUUGGAAAGUUUCGGCGGGUGGGGAUGGACUCGCGGCUUAUCAGCUUGUUGGUGGGGUAGUGGCUUACCAAGGCUUGGACGGGUAGCCGGCCUGAGAGGGUGGCCGGCCACAUUGGGACUGAGAGACGGCCCAGACUCCUACGGGAGGCAGCAGUGGGGAAUAUUGCACAAUGGGCGGAAGCCUGAUGCAGCAACGCCGCGUGCGGGAUGACGGCCUUCGGGUUGUAAACCGCUUUCGCCUGUGACGAAGCGUGAGUGACGGUAAUGAGUAAAGAAGCACCGGCUAACUACGUG
rnacentral:rRNA from 1 species